rnacentral:rRNA from 1 species
UACGGAGGGGACUAGCGUUGUUCGGAAUUACUGGGCGUAAAGCGCACGUAGGCGGAUUUGUAAGUCAGGGGUGAAAUCCCGGGGCUCAACCCCGGAACUGCCUUUGAUACUGCAAAUCUAGAGUCCGGAAGAGGUGAGUGGAAUUCCUAGUGUAGAGGUGAAAUUCGUAGAUAUUAGGAAGAACACCAGUGGCGAAGGCGGCUCACUGGUCCGGUACUGACGCUGAGGUGCGAAAGCGUGGGGAGCAAACAGG